rnacentral:lncRNA from 1 species
AUGAUUACUUCAAAUUUGAGUCAGACGAGAAGAAGAAGGAUGAGGAGUAAGAUGAGGAAGAAGACCAGGUUAGGUGCUAAUAAAGAGGCUCUGAAGUCUGGCCUGUCUGAUAUGGAGUACCUGUGGCGCAGAGACGGGGUGCUGCUGAGGAUGAAGAUGAUGAGGAAGAUGAGCCUGCCCCUAUGCAGCAGACAGACAGUGCCUAUGAGAGUGGGGAUAGAGACGGUAUCCAGAGGGCCAAAGCACCAGUCCCUUCACUGGAUAAAAGCCAGGGCAAAUCUAGCAAGCCUGUCAAACAGCAGGAGACUGAAUCCACAGUGAAACUGUGAGAAUGUCCCUUCAACAUCAAAGAGCAACAAGUGCAAGAGAGCCAUUCGAAUCAUCAAGAAUGCCACCGGCAACAAAACCGAGUAUAUGUACGUGGACCUGCGCUCAGAGGAGGAGGUGGAAAAGGCUCACAAGUCUGAGGGGCAGGUGGAGAAAGGGAGCGAGAGGAGAUUCACCAGGGAGCUGAAGGAAGAUGAAGAGGAGGAAGAUGUAGCAGAGUCAGGAAGACUCUUCACAAGGAACCUGCCCUAAACCUGCACAGAAGAGGAGCUCCAAGACUUCAUCACAAAGCAUG